rnacentral:tRNA from 1 species
UGGAGAGUUGUCCGAGUUGGCCGAAGGAGCACCACUGGAAAUGGUGUAAACGAGUAAAAGCUUGUUUCGAGGGUUCGAAUCCCUCACUCUCCGU